rnacentral:rRNA from 1 species
AUUGAGCGCUGGCGGCAUGCCUUACACAUGCAAGUCGAACGGUAACGGGCCUUCGGGUGCCGACGAGUGGCGAACGGGUGAGUAAUACAUCGGAACGUGCCCGAUCGUGGGGGAUAACGAGGCGAAAGCUUUGCUAAUACCGCAUACGAUCUACGGAUGAAAGCCGGGGACCGCAAGGCCUUGCGCGGACGGAGCGGCCGAUGGCAGAUUAGGUAGUUGGUGGGAUAAAAGCUUACCAAGACGACGAUCUGUAGCUGGUCUGAGAGGAUGAUCAGCCACACUGGGACUGAGACACGGCCCAGACUCCUACGGGAGGCAGCAGUGGGGAAUUUUGGACAAUGGGCGCAAGCCUGAUCCAGCCAUGCCGCGUGCAGGAUGAAGGCCUUCGGGUUGUAAACUGCUUUUGUACGGAACGAAAAGCCUUCUUUUAAUACAGGAGGGUCAUGACGGUACCGGAAGAAUAAGCACCGGCUAACUACGUG